GUGCAAGCCGCCGCGGUAAUACGUAGGCAGCAAGCGUUGUUCGGAGUUACUGGGCGUAAAGGGUGUGUAGGCGGUCUUUUAAGUUUGGUGUGAAAUCUCCCGGCUCAACUGGGAGGGUGCGCCGAAUACUGAGAGGCUAGAGUGCGGGAGAGGAAAGUGGAAUUCCUGGUGUAGCGGUGAAAUGCGUAGAUAUCAGGAGGAACACCGGUGGUGUAAACGGCUUUCUGGACCGUAACUGACGCUGAGACACGAAAGCGUGGGUAGCAAACAGGAUUAGAUACCCCCGUAGUCC
rnacentral:rRNA from 1 species